rnacentral:tRNA from 2 species
GGAGCGGUAGUUCAGUUGGUUAGAAUACCGGCCUGUCACGCCGGUGGUCGCGGGUUCGAGUCCCGUCCGCUUCGCCA